AACAAGUUUCACAACAAUCUCAUUAACAUAAAUACAUUUGUUGGGGGGAGACCCCCACAAUACACACUCCCAGGAAGGACAUUCCCAGACAAACAGGUGCCAGGAUGAGCACUGGUACAGAUCAAUAGGGUUACCCCUCCUGUCAAAAAUUAGGUGCGCAUACAGAACUGUCUGCCACUGGGAAUAUAAAUCAUUUGAUUGACAGUUUGACAGAAAGUGUAUGAUAUAACUACUGUAGUGGCUCAGUGCACUGGGGAAUGGAAUAAAAUAAUUAGGUUCAAUAUUUAAAUUAUGUACUGUAAGGUAAUGUAUAAUUAACAUGAGUACAUUAAAGUAUAUUAUAGUAUUUGGAUGUAUCAUAAACUAAUCUGCCCUUAACUUAAGACUUGCUGGUGUAUUGGAAAUGUAUCAAGUAGGGGGAUCCUAAGACCACUGUGCUAAGAGACUUUUAAUGUGUGUGUGUUUUGGGAAGACCAGUUCACACUGGUCUAACAAGCAGUAGAAUGGGGUGUUAGUCAGACAUGUCAUCACUCUGUUCUUAUUUUUAGGUAUGAAGAAAAGAGAUGUUGCUUUUGUGUUGGUGUGCUCUCUUGCACAUAAAACCUGAUUCAACACAUACAAACUGUAUAAGCAGUUCUGACACUUACCAGAUGUCACUAUAAGAAAAAUCUCAGACAGUAUUUUGUACAUUACACAAACUUUUGCAGGAAUAAUAGGUUAUGCUUACUAUUUUCUACACAUCUCCUUGGCAUUCUUCAUGACAUGUCUAAGGCAUCGAUGAAGAAGGGGCACCUCAAAAUCUCCCUUUCUUCCUUUUCCAAUGACAAUGCUGUAAUAGUGAUUUAUGGUGUCAUUCAGAUUUUCUUUGUCAAAUGACAGACCUAUUGCCUGCAUUAACACCAUGGACCCAUCACAAACGAGUAUGAUGGGUGACCGCAUGCCUUUGUUUCUGAAGCACCUUGCCACAUGUGUUUGAAAUGCCUUAAGGAAGUACAUAGCUGAGGCUGUGGUCUGUUUUUUUGGCAGAGUUUUUGUAGGGAUUCCUUAUCUCCAACUCGUAUACAUGGUAAGGAAGAGAGCCCUUCUCUUUCUUCAUGAUGCUGCCAGUCACGUAUAGAUACACAAUGUCCUCCCGACACUGCUCCAGAUAUAUUUCAAUGCUCCUGAGUGACCCCUGUAGAACCCCUUUUGGGUGCAACAUAAUCUUCUGGAGGACCUCAUCUGGACUGUUCUUUUUUUUUUCUCUCUAGAACUAUCUGAAGACUGACGAUUUCAUUACUGUGUGGCUGGUUUGUCUGACAUACUUCCCAUUAUAUAUUUUUGAGGACAUUAGAAAUGGGAGCCUCGUCUCUACAGCCAGACUCCAUCACAUCUUCAUGUAUUUUGGUUGAUUUCUCAAUAUACAUGGCUCGUGAUGACUCUUUUUGUAAUCCAUGGUGUAAAAAUUUAAAGGAAUUUUAUACUGAUUUUGUUGUUGCUAACAGAAUGGAGGGUCCAUUAAAACUCAGUCAUCUGACUCUUUUUCAGUUUAUUUCAACAUGUAGGAGUAGACAUUUCCCAUUGAUCACUAAUGCUGGUAAUUGUUGGUUUCUAAUAAAACCAUAAACAACUAGAAAAACAAUUAAUGUAAUACAAACACAUUAACGUCUUAAAUUGUACAUUUGAAAUCAGCUUUAACAAAUCCAAUAAAUAUGUAGGUGUCACGGAACGGGACUGGAGGCGGAUGCAGACACUCGAGCAUCCUUAUCUUGCUUAGAAUGCAGUCUGAUGCAGUUUAACCUUCUGAAACCUCCAGAGGGAUGUCUCUUAGAUGUUGAUCGCAUCGCUGGAAGAUCUGCAUUGGAUAAGUCUGUUCAAGUAAAUCAAGUAUUUGAGCAGAAAAGGCACCUUGUAUCUCGUAUUUCCUUUGCUUACAAGGAGCUGGAGAAAAGGAAAAGGAAACAAUGGUACCUUUCAGUUUUCUCUGUACAGUGCCAAAUCUUUCGAAGAACCAAUGAUUCUGCCACCCCAUGAAGACCU
ensembl:lncRNA